rnacentral:rRNA from 1 species
AUGAGAGCGGUUCCAGCGGCGGCGACUGGGCUCGACUGUGUGAUGGUCAACGCCUCAAUGGGGCAGCCGGGAUGGCGUGGUGAGCGUCGGCUGGCCUCGGUCGCUGUGGUGGAUGAUCGGAAGCAUAGUUUGCGGAGGCGGCGCUAUUGUGGCAGUGGCGGUCACCUCAGAUCCUCCAUGGCUGGCGCGACUCCCGUGACUUCCUCUCCCUCGGCUCGCCACCACGCCAUGAGCCCCAGGACUGACAUCGGAUUGAUUCGGGGGUGUGAGAAACUGCUGCAUUGGCCUCGCGGUUCGGCCGUGUACGGUCUGGCGGCGGACGACAGCGUCGUAGCGGUAUGA